rnacentral:rRNA from 1 species
AGCAGUAGCCGCGGUAAUACGUAGGGUGCGAGCGUUAAUCGGAAUUACUGGGCGUAAAGGGCUCGCAGGCGGUUUCUUAAGUCUGAUGUGAAAGCCCCCGGCUCAACCGGGGAGGGUCAUUGGAAACUGGGAAACUUGAGUGCAGAAGAGGAGAGUGGAAUUCCACGUGUAGCGGUGAAAUGCGUAGAGAUGUGGAGGAACACCAGUGGCGAAGGCGACUCUCUGGUCUGUAACUGACGCUGAGGAGCGAAAGCGUGGGGAGCGAACAGGAUUAGAUACCCCGGUAGUCCCUGUCUCUUAUAC